rnacentral:rRNA from 1 species
UGGGGAAUAUUGCACAAUGGGCGCAAGCCUGAUGCAGCAACGCCGCGUGAGGGAUGACGGCCUUCGGGUUGUAAACCUCUUUUAGCAGGGAAGAAGCGAAAGUGACGGUACCUGCAGAAAAACGCACCGGCUAACUACGUGCCAGCAGCCGCGGUAAUACGUAGGGUGCAAGCGUUGUCCGGAAUUAUUGGGCGUAAAGAGCUCGUAGGCGGUCUGUCGCGUCUGCUGUGAAAUCCCCGAGGCUCAACCUCGGGCCUGCAGUGGGUACGGGCAGACUAGAGUGCGGUAGGGGAGAAUGGAACUCCUGGUGUAGCGGUGGAAUGCGCAGAUAUCAGGAAGAACACCGAUGGCGAAGGCAGUUCUCUGGGCCCGUAACUGACGCUGAGGAGCGAAAGCGUGGGGAGCGAACAGGAUUAGAUACCCUGGUAGUCCACGCCGUAAACGUUGGGCGCUAGAUGUGGGGCACCAUUCCACGGUUUCCGUGUCGCAGCUAACGCAUU